rnacentral:siRNA from 1 species
AGCCAUGAGUGCAGUGCCAUCAUA